AUGGGCGAGAAUGAUAUUCAAAUGGAGAGUACAGAGCAAAUGCAGGAGCCUCACGCUUCAACCUCGGACAAAAUCGACUUGUCAUUAGACGACAUUAUAAAGCUGAAUAAGAAGGAACAGAAGGCAAACAGAGCUGCCAACAGAGCUAAAACUAAACGUGCUGUUAACAGGAACAACGUCUUGAAGAAACUCCACCAGGUUCCGCAGCAACAGAGGGGACUCAGACGAGGAGCGCAGCAGUACCAAGGGCCUGGCAGGGUGAGAGGUUUAAGGAGACAAAGAGGAUCUGGGAGGGGCAUGAUUUCGAGAAGGGAUUCACUAAAUAGAGCUGCUGCUGCUGCCACGACUGGUGAGCAGUUUGAUCAGAGCACAUUCACAUCGAGGGGAACAUUCAGAGGACGGGGAAGAGGUAGAGGAAGAGGAGGCGGACUGAGCAGGGGUGCAUUCUCAACAAGAGGACAAAGGGGUGGAAGACCAUUUGUAUUAGACAGAGGGGUAAGAAGGACAAUCUUUAUUAAUAAAUAUAAAUAACAUUCACAUUAUACAAAACCUAUACAUGGAUUGACCUUGCUGUUAAUAUAUUUUAGACCUUCACUUCUGUGUCCUGUCUUUGUUACUAUAGUUUGCCGCUACAAAAAGAGCUGAGAAACUACAAAAGUAUCAGACAAUAAGAAGGUGAGUUUUUACUUACAUAAGAAGAUGACUGUAUACAGACAAUAAGAAGGUAGUAGUUUACUUACAUAAGAAGAUGACUCUAUAUUCCAAAACAUAAUCUCAGGGUGUGUAAACUAUUAGUCUUCGCUCGUUUUCUCUCUCUCUGUGUUUGUCACACACACAUACUGAAGUCGAAGAACAGCACCAUCUGGCUCCAUGCUGACAGUUUCCCUGCCAAAUGCUAAAUCUGCACCUGUCGCUGUGUGAGUAAAUCAACCUUCUCACUUCCUUCUCAUUCACUGUGUGUACAAACAAAAAAAAUGUCCUUUUUUAAAAGAAAAUGUAAAUUAUUGAUUGUUAUAUGAUGAAGGUUUUUACAUUUUUAGGUUAUGAAAAAUAAAAUGUUAAAAAGUACCUCAUACAGUGUAAAUACUGUUUUGCAUUCUGAUAUUAGAAGGAAAACUCAGCGAUAAAAACUGAAUCCUAUACUUUAAACAAAAUGUAAAAAAUAUAUAUCAAAAGUUGUUUACAUUUGAUAUCAUCAUAUCAAUAAACACCAAACAAUGAACAGUUUUUAUUUUUGGGAGAAUUAUUUUGUGAUGUCUGUCUGGUCUGUCUGUUUAUUUGGACAUGCUGCUUAAAGUAAUAUAUCAAAAGUUGUUUACAUUUGAUAUCAUCAUAUCAAUAAACACCAAACAAUGUAACAGUUUUUAUUUUUGGGUAGAAUUAUUUUGUGAUGUCUGUCUGGUCUGUCUGUUUAUUUGGACAUGCUGCUUAAAGGGAUAGUUCACCUAAAAAUUUAAAUUCUGUCACAAUUUACAGACUUUCAUGUUGGGUAAACUAUCCCUUUAUGCAAAAAUUGGUGAGUCUUUGGCUACUUUAGUGGAUAUUGAGACAUUUUUAUCCCAUGUUACAAGUGGUAUUCACCAAUUUCCAAUAUAAAAACUGGCUAUUUAUUAACACAUACAGAUAUUUCAGAUGUUUCAUUCUUGAUGUUUCUUUUAAAGAUGUUUCCUUUUGUAUCUAAUUAAAAAAUAUCUUUAAUAUUUUUUUUUUGUUAAAAAUGAUAAUUGUUCGGGGGUCUUCAAUUUUAUGAAGUAAUAGUAUUUACUGAAAAAUUCAUUUUUGGUAAAAAAAAAUAAUUUUGGUGCAUCACUGUUUACUGUAAUAAUGUCGUUCAACUUAAUAUCUGUAACAUUUCUGACAGCGGGAUAAGGGGUUUUUAUUGCUGUGUACAAACAAAAAAAAUGUCCUUUUUAAAAGAAAAUGUAAAUUAUUGAUUGUUAUAUGAUGAAGGUUUUUACAUUUUUAGGUUAUGAAAAAAUAAAAUGUUAAAAAGUACCUCAUACAGUGUAAAUACUGUUUUGCAUUCUGAUAUUAGAAGGAAAACUCAGCGAUAAAAACUGAAUCCUAUACUUUAAACAAAAUGUAAAAAAUAUAUAUCAAAAGUUGUUUACAUUUGAUAUCAUCAUAUCAAUAAACACCAAACAAUGAACAGUUUUUAUUUUUGGGAGAAUUAUUUUGUGAUGUCUGUCUGGUCUGUCUGUUUAUUUGGACAUGCUGCUUAAAGGGAUAGUUCACCUAAAAAUUUAAAUUCUGUCACAAUUUACAGACUUUCAUGUUGGGUAAACUAUCCCUUUAUGCAAAAAUUGGUGAGUCUUUGGCUACUUUAGUGGAUAUUGAGACAUUUUUAUCCCAUGUUACAAGUGGUAUUCACCAAUUUCCAAUAUAAAAACUGGCUAUUUAUUAACACAUACAGAUAUUUCAGAUGUUUCAUUCUUGAUGUUUCUUUUAAAGAUGUUUCCUUUUGUAUCUAAUUAAAAAAUAUCAAUAUUUUUUUUUUUGUUAAAAAUGAUAAUUGUUCUCAUGUUGUUAGCCCCUUUCAUCAUUUUGGUGAGAAAACAAGGGCACAGACAUGAGCAAAUGUUAACAAUGGAUGAAUUCUGUGAAGUCCUGUCAUAGAGGUUGUUUUGUCUCACAUGAUGUUAUCAAAAUGAACCUCAGGUUGAAGCUAACAGUAAAUCCUUCACUUUGCAAUGACUAACCUCAGGCCACUUCUUGAAGACUGUUCAUUUUAUUGCCAUAGUUACUAUAGUUAAACCAUGGUAACCACAAAUUAACCAUGGUUUUGCUACACUAACCAUAGUUUAACCAUGGUAUUUGUAGUAAAACUGGUAAUCAAUACACCAAACAAACGUGGUUACUACACUUUCACUUCAAUAAAAGUUGGUUCAUUUUCAUAAGGGUCAUUAAUACAAGCUCCAGUUAAAUCAUCCCAACACUCCUCCAGCCCAGACUAACCCAGCUCUCUGUUCCUAGCUCUAUCUGUCAGUGGAUCACCAGCUUUCUGACAGAUAGACAACAGCUAGUGAGAAUUGGUAAAUUCACUUCCAACGCCCGCACCAUCAGCACUCCUCAGGGGUAUGUGCUCUCCCCACUGCUCUUCUGCCUCUAUACCAACAACUGCACCUCUAUAGACCCCUCUGUCAAACUGCUGAAGUUUGCAGACGACACGACAGUCAUGAUACAGAAGAGCAUACGCAGCAUAUAGUGAUAUGGAGAGACACAGAGGAGACUGUUGUUGACAAAGGAUUGUUGAAUAAAGUUUUUUUUUUCUGCUUACGGAAAGUAUGUCUUUCAUACUUUUAUGGACUUUGUUCUUUCAUACUUUUAUGACACUGUUAUUUACUUGGCAGUCAAUUGGACAGUCACAGGCCUCAUGGUUUUCAUCCAAAAUAUCUUCAAUUGUGUUCCGAAGACGAAUAAAGCUUUUACAGGUUUGUAACGACAUGGGAGUAAGUGAUUAAUGACAAAAUUUUCAUUUUGGAGUGGAGUAUCCCUUUAACAACUUGGAGCUUAACAUGCUCAGAACUGUGGAGAUGAGGACUUCAGGAGAAACCCCCCUUGCCCUCUUCUGUCACCAAGGAAAAUACCUUGUGUGUGUAAGCACACUUGGCAAUAAAGUUCUUUCUGAUUCUGAUCUUUAAUAUCAAUGCUUUAUUAACCCAGGCAAACAUACAAAAGCAGACAAGCGACUGGAGACACCAUAGACGGAAGACACAAGCAUCCGCU
rnacentral:lncRNA from 1 species